rnacentral:rRNA from 1 species
AGAACGAACGCUGGCGGCAGGCUUAACACAUGCAAGUCGAACGCUCCGCAAGGGGAGUGGCAGACGGGUGAGUAACGCGUGGGAACAUACCCCUCGGUUCGGAAUAACUCAGGGAAACUUGAGCUAAUACCGAAUACGGUCGAGAGGCGAAAGAUUUAUCGCCGAGGGAUUGGCCCGCGUCCGAUUAGCUAGUUGGUGAGGUAAUGGCUCACCAAGGCGACGAUCGGUAGCUGGUCUGAGAGGAUGAUCAGCCACAUUGGGACUGAGACACGGCCCAAACUCCUACGGGAGGCAGCAGUGGGGAAUAUUGGACAAUGGGCGAAAGCCUGAUCCAGCCAUGCCGCGUGAGUGAUGACGGCCUUAGGGUUGUAAAGCUCUUUCAUCAGGACGAUAAUGACGGUACCUGAAGAAGAAGCCCGGCUAACUUCGCGCCAGCACGCCGC